CCUACGGGAGACAGCAGUGGGGAAUAUUGGGCAAUGGAGGCAACUCUGACCCAGCAACGCCGCGUGAAUGAUGAAGGUCUUCGGAUUGUAAAGUUCUGUGAUGGGGGAUGAAAACAAUGACGGGACCCCAAUAGCAAGCCACGGCUAACUACGGGCCAGCAGCCGCGGGAAUACGUAGGUGGCAAGCGUUAUGCGGAAUGACUGGGCGUAAAGGGUGAGUAGGUGGUUUAGGAAGUUGGCGGUGUAAGUCAGGGGCUCCACCUCGGCGCUACCGCCCAAACUAUUAGACUAGAGUGCAGGGGUGGUAAGUGGCAUUCCUAGUGUAGCGGUGUAAUGCGUAGAUCUUA
rnacentral:rRNA from 1 species